rnacentral:lncRNA from 1 species
CCCGCGCUCUCCUGGGCGACGGAGGCCAUGGCGACGAGAGCCAAGGGCAGCGAGCCGAGGCGGGGCUGAGCGCGGGAGGAAGGCGGGGACGCGGGCGAGCGCGGGCCCUGGGCCCCUCCUGCGCGGCCGCGGCUGGCUCUAGGCCCCGGCCUCACAGCGCGGCGCCCCCGAACCCGGCUGCUCCCCCGAGGUCGCGGGCGCCGGCGGGAACCGCAGUAGCGGGAGACAUAGCCGGCCCAGCCGGGCACCGCUCCUUGCCCUCGCCGGAGACUGCCCAGCGCCCUGCGCCUCUCCGCCCCGGCCUGCGGCGCGCUGGGUGGCGACGAGUCGGCCUCGGCGUUGAUCAGCACCAGGAUGAACCGUUGUCCACAUUCUGUUUUCUGAGUCAAAGAGGAGGAAGAUCUGUCCAUCGAAACUGAGCUGCCAAGAUCCACUGCCGUGUCCUUCGGCUUUCUGCUCACAAGACAUCCUGGCCUGCAGGGUGAGGGGUUCUGCCCCCAUCAAAGAGAGAUCAGCUCUGGCCUUGACAGAUAUUGAGCCCCCAUCCUCUUCCACUUGCAAUUUCCUGGUCUUACUUGCUCUGCCACAUCCUGGCCUUGCCUCUAGACGUCUUGCGGGGUGAGAUGACCUUCCUAUUUGUAUUUUUACAUGAAAACUAUAAAUGCCUCUAACCUACCACUGUAUCUGCUCCCUGCUGUCCUGGGCCAUCUGAAACUUACCCUUGGGUAUGUAAUUCUCCAGCUGAAUGUCAAGCAGUUGCUCUGUAAGUAUGUCCACCACCUCUCUCAGUACUGGGUUCUGUGCUUUCCAG